GCGCCUCGUGAAUUCAUCUCCGGGGGUAGAGCACUGUUUCGGCUAGGGGGCCAUCCCGGCUUACCAACCCGAUGCAAACUGCGAAUACCGGAGAAUGUUAUCACGGGAGACACACGGCGGGUGCUAACGUCCGUCGUGAAGAGGGAAACAACCCAGACCGCCAGCUAAGGUCCCAAAGUCAUGGUUAAGUGGGAAACGAUGUGGGAAGGCCCAGACAGCCAGGAUGUUGGCUUAGAAGCAGCCAUCAUUUAAAGAAAGCGUAAUAGCUCACUGGUCGAGUCGGCCUGCGCGGAAGAUGUAACGGGGCUAAACCAUGCACCGAAGCUGCGGCAGCGACGCUGAUGCGUUGUUGGGUAGGGGAGCGUUCUGUAAGCCUGCGAAGGUGGCCUGUGAGGGUUGCUGGAGGUAUCAGAAGUGCGAAUGCUGACAUAAGUAACGAUAAAGCGGGUGAAAAGCCCGCUCGCCGGAAGACCAAGGGUUCCUGUCCAACGUUAAUCGGGGCAGGGUGAGUCGACCCCUAAGGCGAGGCCGAAAGGCGUAGUCGAUGGGAAACGGGUUAAUAUUCCCGUACUUGGUGUUACUGCGAAGGGGGGACGGAGAAGGCUAUGUUGGCCGGGCGACGGUUGUCCCGGUUUAAGCGUGUAGGUGUGUGUUCCAGGUAAAUCCGGUUCACUUUAACACUGAGGCGUGAUGACGAGGCACUACGGUGCUGAAGCAACAAAUGCCCUGCUUCCAGGAAAAGCCUCUAAGCAUCAGGUAACAUCAAAUCGUACCCCAAACCGACACAGGUGGUCAGGUAGAGAAUACCAAGGCGCUUGAGAGAACUCGGGUGAAGGAACUAGGCAAAAUGGUGCCGUAACUUCGGGAGAAGGCACGCUGACACGUAGGUGAAGUGAUUUACUCAUGGAGCUGAAGUCAGUCGAAGAUACCAGCUGGCUGCAACUGUUUAUUAAAAACACAGCACUGUGCAAACACGAAAGUGGACGUAUACGGUGUGACGCCUGCCCGGUGCCGGAAGGUUAAUUGAUGGGGUCAGCGCAAGCGAAGCUCCUGAUCGAAGCCCCGGUAAACGGCGGCCGUAACUAUAACGGUCCUAAGGUAGCGAAAUUCCUUGUCGGGUAAGUUCCGACCUGCACGAAUGGCGUAAUGAUGGCCAGGCUGUCUCCACCCGAGACUCAGUGAAAUUGAACUCGCUGUGAAGAUGCAGUGUACCCGCGGCAAGACGGAAAGACCCCGUGAACCUUUACUAUAGCUUGACACUGAACAUUGAGCCUUGAUGUGUAGGAUAGGUGGGAGGCUUUGAAGUGUGGACGCCAGUCUGCAUGGAGCCGGCCUUGAAAUACCACCCUUUAAUGUUUGAUGUUCUAACGUGGACCCGUGAUCCGGGUUGCGGACAGUGUCUGGUGGGUAGUUUGACUGGGGCGGUCUCCUCCUAAAGAGUAACGGAGGAGCACGAAGGUUGGCUAAUCCUGGUCGGACAUCAGGAGGUUAGUGCAAUGGCAUAAGCCAGCUUGACUGCGAGCGUGACGGCGCGAGCAGGUGCGAAAGCAGGUCAUAGUGAUCCGGUGGUUCUGAAUGGAAGGGCCAUCGCUCAACGGAUAAAAGGUACUCCGGGGAUAACAGGCUGAUACCGCCCAAGAGUUCAUAUCGACGGCGGUGUUUGGCACCUCGAUGUCGGCUCAUCACAUCCUGGGGCUGAAGUAGGUCCCAAGGGUAUGGCUGUUCGCCAUUUAAAGUGGUACGCGAGCUGGGUUUAGAACGUCGUGAGACAGUUCGGUCCCUAUCUGCCGUGGGCGCUGGAGAACUGAGGGGGGCUGCUCCUAGUACGAGAGGACCGGAGUGGACGCAUCACUGGUGUUCGGGUUGUCAUGCCAAUGGCACUGCCCGGUAGCUAAAUGCGGAAGAGAUAAGUGCUGAAAGCAUCUAAGCACGAAACUUGCCCCGAGAUGAGUUCUCCCUGAGACUUAGAGUCUCCUGAAGGAACGUUGAAGACGACGACGUUGAUAGGCCGGGUGUGUAAGCGCAGCGAUGCGUUGAGCUAACCGGUACUAAUGAACCGUGAGGCUUAACCUUACA
rnacentral:rRNA from 2 species